UACAGAGGGGGCGAGCGUUGUUCGGAAUUACUGGGCGUAAAGGGCGCGUAGGCGGCCCGCUAAGUCGAACGUGAAAUCCCCAGGCUCAACCUGGGAACUGCGUCCGAUACUGGCAGGCUUGAAUCCGGGAGAGGGAUGUGGAAUUCCAGGUGUAGCGGUGAAAUGCGUAGAUAUCGAGAGGAACACCGGUGGCGAAGGCGGCCAACUGGACCAAUACUGACGCUGAGACUCGAAAGCGUGGGGAGCAAACAGG
rnacentral:rRNA from 1 species